CUAGAAGUCGCCAACAAGAUUAUUGAGCUGCUGACAGGAGAGGUUCCUAUAAGGUGUCAGGAUGCCAAUAACUGUUACUCCUUGGAAGAGUGGGUGCAUUUCGAAGGACAAAGGGACCUCUUCAACGUUGUUAAGAUGGAGAAUCAGCCGCCCCUCACAUCACCGGAUGGAUCCAGUAAUGGGAACCCACCAGAGAGAUGUCCCCG